CCUACGGGCGGCAGCAGUGGGGAAUAUUGGACAAUGGGCGAAAGCCUGAUCCAGCCAUGCCGCGUGUGUGAAGAAGGCCUUCGGGUUGUAAAGCACUUUCAGUGGGGAAGAAAGCCUUGGGGCUAAUACCCUCGAGGAAGGACAUCACCCACAGAAGAAGCACCGGCUAACUCCGUGCCAGCAGCCGCGGUAAUACGGAGGGUGCGAGCGUUAAUCGGAAUUACUGGGCGUAAAGCGCGCGUAGGCGGUCUGAUAAGCCGGUUGUGAAAGCCCCGGGCUCAACCUGGGAACGGCAUCCGGAACUGUCAGGCUAGAGUGCAGGAGAGGAAGGUAGAAUUCCCGGUGUAGCGGUGAAAUGCGUAGAGAUCGGGAGGAAUACCAGUGGCGAAGGCGGCCUUCUGGACUGACUCUGACGCUGAGGUGCGAAAGCGUGGGUAGCAAACAGGAUUAGAUACCCCGGUAGUC
rnacentral:rRNA from 1 species